UCCGGCAGCAUCUCCUUUGAAACUAACAUAACAAGGAGGGGAAAACAUGAAGUUCAUACAGGAUAUAAAGACAUAUAAUUCACAUAGUAGAAGCUAAAUGCAAAGUGGUAAACUCAUUUAUGCCCCAACUGAAGCAAAACAAAUGGGAUGAGGAACUCAGCCCACCCCAAGAUAAACGCUCAACCAAGAACAAGGCAAAUCACUAGACUUGACCAAUUCUGAUUAACAACAUUAUUAAAUGGUGAUUCCUUUAUUAAAGGUGUAGUGGUCGUGCUGCUACAUCCCUCUAUUCCCAAAGCAGAAAUUAGGUGCCUGCAUCAAACAAUGCAAGAUGUGAGAUAAUACAUCUCAGCAAGUAAACAUAACAACAACAAAUAGGACAUUGUAAAUCAACUGUGCUUACACAACCACAUGGUUCAGAACUCCUUUCUUUCUUUUGAACAGUAAAUUGCAGCAAGUAAGCAAAUAACUAAAUUCUUAACGCCAAGAAGAAUCACCAUGCACAAGUCCAAAUUAACCACAUCCACAUAAUAGAUUCCACACCUCUCCCAUGAAUGCACAUGGCUACAGAUGCAAUAAUGACUUCUGCCUCCAUAUCACUAAGGAUAUGAAGCUGCACCAUACCCCUUCUCGGGCAACAUAUGAUGCUCAAUGUACCGGUAUGGUCAGACCAUAAGAUCGCGACGAAACUUCAAUGCAAUGGAUGAUGAGUGCAUUAUGCAUGACAACAUCAUGAGUUCUUCCCAAAUAAAAAUGUGCUAGACAUAUACUUCCACCCAUUCCACAUAAUAACCACUUGAGUAACAUAAUCAAACCUCAAACUCAACAUAUGAAAUCCAUGAAACAUGAACAUUUCAAAUGAUGGUACUCAAAAAAAAUAUGAAUAUGAACACAAUAGCAAAACAUAAUCAUGUAUAAGACUCCUCAUCUGACAGACGGAAUAACCAUCACAGUUUUACUUGCCUUCACCGGAUGUUUGGGCAAAUCCCUAAGAACGAUCCGGAAGUCCACCACCUUGGAUUCUCCCCCUUUCCUUCCUCCCUUCUUCCCUCCACCAAAACGAUUGAAGAUUCGCACCACGUGACGAUGAUCCGAGCGGCAAGGAUUGGC
rnacentral:lncRNA from 1 species